UACGGAGGGUGCGAGCGUUGUCCGGAAUCAUUGGGCGUAAAGGGCGCGUAGGUGGCCCGGUCAGUUCGUGGUGAAAGCGCGGGGCUCAACCCUGCGUCGGCCAUGAAUACUGCCGCGGCUGGAGCACUGUAGAGGCAGGCGGAAUUCCGGGUGUAGCGGUGGAAUGCGUAGAGAUCCGGAAGAACACCGGUGGCGAAGGCGGCCUGCUGGGCAGUUGCUGACACUGGAGGCGCGACAGCGUGGGGAGCAAACAGGG
rnacentral:rRNA from 1 species